AGUGAACGCUGGCGGUAGGCCUAACACAUGCAAGUCGAACGGCAGCACAGUAAGAGCUUGCUCUUACGGGUGGCGAGUGGCGGACGGGUGAGGAGUACAUCGGAAUCUACUUUUUCGUGGGGGAUAACGUAGGGAAACUUACGCUAAUACCGCAUACGACCUACGGGUGAAAGCAGGGGAUCUUCGGCCCUUGCGCGAUUGAAUGAGCCGAUGUCGGAUUAGCUAGUUGGCGGGGUAAAGGCCCACCAAGGCGACGAUCCGUAGCUGGUCUGAGAGGAUGAUCAGCCACACUGGAACUGAGACACGGUCCAGACUCCUACGGGAGGCAGCAGUGGGGAAUAUUGGACAAUGGGCGCAAGCCUGAUCCAGCCAUACCGCGUGGGUGAAGAAGGCCUUCGGGUUGUAAAGCCCUUUUGUUGGGAAAGAAAAGCAGCAGGUUAAUACCCCGCUGUUCUGACGGUACCCAAAGAAUAAGCACCGGCUAACUUCGUG
rnacentral:rRNA from 1 species